AUUGAACGCUGGCGGCAGGCUUAACGCAUGCAAGUCGAGCGGGGUGAUGGUGCUUGCACUAUCACUUAGCGGCGGACGGGUGAGUAAUGCUUAGGAAUCUGCCUAUUAGUGGGGGACAACAUCUCGAAAGGGAUGCUAAUACCGCAUACGUCCUACGGGAGAAAGCAGGGGAUCACUUGUGACCUUGCGCUAAUAGAUGAGCCUAAGUCGGAUUAGCUAGUUGGUGGGGUAAAGGCCUACCAAGGCGACGAUCUGUAGCGGGUCUGAGAGGAGGAUCCGCCACACUGGGACUGAGACACGGCCCAGACUCCUACGGGAGGCAGCAGUGGGGAAUAUUGGACAAUGGGGGGAACCCUGAUCCAGCCAUGCCGCGUGUGUGAAGAAGGCCUUAUGGUUGUAAAGCACUUUAAGCGAGGAGGAGGCUCUUUUGGUUAAUACCCAAGAUGAGUGGACGUUACUCGCAGAAUAAGCGCCGGCUAACUCUGUGCCAGCAGCCGCAGUAA
rnacentral:rRNA from 1 species